CCCCUAGAUGUUCUGGGCCGCACGCGCGCUACACUGAACAGUUCAACAAGUCUUAACCUUGGCCGAUAGGUCUGGGUAAUCUUUGAACGCUGUUCGUGAUUGGGAUAGACCUAUGCAAUUAUGGGUCUUCAACGAGGAAUUCCUAGUAAACGCAAGUCAUCAGCUUGCAUUGAUUACGUCCCUGCCCUUUGUACACACCGCCCGUCGCACCUACCGAUUGAAUGGUCCGGUGAAAUCUCGGGACGGCGGCUUGGUCGCUUGCGUCCGACUGCUGAAACUUGAUUAAACCAUAUCAUUUAGAGGAAGGUGAAGUCGUAACA
rnacentral:rRNA from 1 species